ensembl:lncRNA
AGGUAAUGAGUGAAGGACAGAUGAUCUUCUCUCAGAAGAAGUUACAGGUCUGUGAGAACCAGAAAUCUUGCUAGUUUGUUAUUGACGAAAUAGUUCUUUUCCACCAUUAUUUACAAAUCAAUUCUUUAAAAAUCAGGCAAUGUGAUUCUUUAGAUUUCUUUUCCCUCAUUUUAUCUCUCACAGUUGAGGUUUACCUAUGAGGAAAAUUACAGACCUCUCUCAUCCUUUUAAGCAGGACAACUUGCACAAUUGGUGGCUGACUCAAUAUUUUUUUGCACCAUUGUAGAUGCAUGUCAUUUUUUGCACUAGAUGAGAGAAAGCAAAUCCCCUCUUCUCUUUCUUCUUCUGCUUGGUGGACAAACACACCACCCUCCUCUGCCUCAGCGCGUUCGUUCACAGACGCAGCAGGUCAAUGAGAAGAAUGUCGUUCAUGUUUUAUAUAAACCCUGAAGACGAUGGCGUUGUUCGAAACGUAUAAACGCCGCUCAAAAGUUCAUCACAGUUCUCACGGACUGUUGCAAGCAAAUCCAAACAUUAGUUUGAACUAGGUGAAUGUGACUGGUGCGACCAGCCUUAAAACUUUAUUUUUAAAAAAAAAGUCUGUUUUUUUUUCUCUCACAAAACUGAAACCAUCACAGACGGGCUUUUCGUUUGUUCUGUUCAUAAGAGUCCAUCCAUCACAGAUUGAGGUUAUGAUCUUUCUCCGAAGAAGCCCCUCCACCUGGAGCGUCAGGAUCCGGUUCAUUCAGCUCAUGUGUUGCCGGGCAGUUUAGCUUCAAAGGGUGCGAGGAAAACGCUUUCCUGCUCUGUCAGAAUCUGACCCUCACUCUUCGCUUUUCAGGUCGAGCAGAGGAGGAGGACGACGAUGAGGAGGAGGCGACAUCCGGCCUUUUUCUUUCUGACAUGGAUGUAGAACUCAGAGGACUAAAGGAUUGUUUUGUGUUUUCAUCACUGCGUAACGGCUGCAUGACAGACGGCGAAGCCUCCCGCUUCGCUCAGGAGCCUGGGCACAAAAAGUCCCGCCUCCUGCAGCUCUGUGUGCUUGGAGGGACGAGUGUUCCACCAUCCGGGGUCGGUUUUUGUGAGGAAUGUGUGCGAAUGAACGAACUUCGGGGUCGUCUGCUCUCGAACACACGGAGCUGCGGGGCCACACUUUGAAAAAGAUUAAAGAAAGAACCUCAAUAUUUUACCUGCUUCUCUUUGUUUUAAAAAUCCUGGGACACAGUCGUCAUGGCAACUCACCAGCUCAUCGGGUGUGAAAAUGGCAGAGGAUGACGCGUAUCUGCAUCCAUUCUCUGGGGUCACGAUUCAAGUACACGUCAGAUCACUUUUUCAGUUAGUUGAUUUAUUUUUUAAAUGAAGAAAGGUUAGUUUCAGCAAUUAAAACAUUCAUGUUUGAAAUUACCAGAAUUUUAUCAUUUCUUUAUCUCGCUGAUGCCAUUAUUUUUCAGCUCAACCAAAAUGUUUAAACUGUUUUAAUAAACUUCAAGUGAGCAGUUUUUUACUGCCAGCUUUCCUUUGCAAGUUAAUUUAUGCUAUUAAUACUGUUAAUUUGAGUAAUAUUCUGAAGUUAUUUUUAACCGCCUGGGAGUAGAGCUGCGGUAACACUGCGAUAAUCUCAAGUAGCCAGCAGAUGUCGCUGUCUGCUAGGAAGUAGAGCGCAAGAGCCUUGACGUCUAGGCAUUGGCUAUUUAAUCGUAGGGAAUUCUUUCGUUUGAUCACAUAAUUUUUUGGAUGUGGAUAUUUGGUACGUUAAGUAAAAAUCUUCAAGGAAAUCGAACAUUGAUUUACUUUGAAUUUACAAGAUUGAAAGAAAUGGUUACGUCACCAAGAGAUGAUCCAAUCACCGCGAUGAAAGUGUCUGACGACAGAGACGGAAGCAUCUGUGCACCUGCUGAGGACGGACGGACAAUUAAAUGCUUUCUGUGCGUGAUGUCCGGAGGUUUAACGUUCAUGGGAGUCUAAAGUCAGCUUUUAUUUGACCAACGCCGGGAGGACAGCAGCUGGGGUGAGGCACAGGCCCGCGCGGCCGCGGUUCCCCCGUUUGGCAGCGGAAGAGCUAACUGUGAUUAGCCGUCAAGCUAGGCACUGUUUAUAAGAAAACCGGAAGUUGUUUCACAGUUUUACUUGACUGGAUUUUAUUUUUUUAAUACAAAGCAAACAGAGUAAGUUUAGACUGACAGAUUUUUGUUAAAUACAAAGCAAGCAUAAACAAUAUUAUUUUCUUUUAUUUAAUUACAUGCAGAAAAUUAUUAGAAAGAGGAGCUUGUUCCGAUUGUUGGAAACAUUGCAUAAGAGGCCUCUAUUUUGAAAGUACAGAGGAAGUGGACUGUCUUUUUCAUGAAUUUGUUUUUACGGUUGAAAAAAGUCAGUUUCAGCAAAUUUAGGUUUUUCCUGAUUUGUAGUUAACCAUAAAAACAAAGAAGGAGCUGAAAAACGAGUAGAAUUUCAUUAGCUGAAUAAACAUGAGCAUGUAAAAAAAUGUGAACAGGAAACGGAAGAGAGACAUUUUAAAACCAAUUAUUUCUCUUAAUUACAUCGAUCAAUACUAGUUCUGCUUUUAUUUUGACAGAAGUGUUGAAGCCUGAAAAUAAUCUUAUUCUAAACAAUUAAGAUAAUGUAGAUGAUGAAGGCUCUUAUAGAAAAGAGUCAGCUGUGGCUUCUUUUAUCCUCUGACCAACAGUGCAGAUUAGCAAAAGGAAAAAUACAAUUCUUUUUAAAAGUGCAGUGACAAAAAAAAAAUUUAUUGAGAAAAUACUAGAUGUGACUUUAUUCAAGGUGCAUUCAAUUCUGUCCUGGUCUGAUCCAGGUUUGGUCCUGGUCUGAUCCAGGUUUGGUCCUGGUCUGAUCCAGGUAAGGUCCUGGUCUGAUCCAGGUAUGGUCCUGGUCUGAUCCAGGUUUGGUCCUGGUCUGAUCCAGGUAUGGUCCUGGUCUGAUCCAGGUAUGGUCCUGGUCUGAUCCAAGUUAGACCCUGAUCCGAUCCAGGUAUGGUCCUGGUCUGAUCCAGGUUUGGUCCUGGUCUGAUCCAGUGCUGGUCAUCUUAGUUUGGCCGGUGUUGAAAGCUCACCUGAACUCUGGUUUGAAGAGAACUCUGGACCGCCUAAGAAAGAGGGUUUCUGUUUAGUUGCAGAUCAACUCUGGUGUGAUUCACUUCAGUGUGAAUACAGAUGGACACACGAGGAGAAAAAAAUGUUUAGAAUUUGGAUUGUUAGAUUAUAUUAUGGUUUCUUCACAUUUACUAGAUACAUUUAAUAUUUUUUACAUCUCUACCUGCUAAUUAAUUGUCUAGCACAAAAAAAAACGUACGUAAAGAAGACUUGAAGCCAAGGGUAGCAUGGCGUAUCCACGCGACCGCUGCUUCCUCCUGUGAUGAAAGUAUUAAAGCAGUAAUGUGUUUUCUAUUUUAGAAGCGUGUUAGUUCCUUCAUUAGUAAAACUAUUGGUUAAAUCCUCUGUACAGCCACGUUUACAAAAAUAGUUGGCAGAAGUUUUGGAGAAAGAAAGAGGAAUUUCAUUUUCAUAUGAAUAACAUCCUCUGACAUCAGUCAAAUAAUGGGCUAAAACAUGUAGGCCAAAAUGUUAUGAUGAUCACAUUUCCAAAUUUCUAAACCAAAUAUUUGGUAACUCGCAGUUACCUUUUUUCAUUUCUGUUCUCUUCUGCCUCUCUGCAGGGAUCGGGGGGCUGCAGAAGACGCCCGUCUCAUGCCCCGCUGCUGAGCAUCAGGAUGCAGAUCCUGCUGGCAAAGCUGCUCGGCCUGCUGGGGCUGUUUGGCCUCAUGCUGGCUGGCGUGCUGAUCCCGGUGCGCCUCCUGCUGGUUGACCACGAGAAAGCAAACCGGUACAGACGAGCGCUGUCUCUCUGUAACUCGUUUGGAGGAGGCGUGUUCCUCGCCACGUGCUUCAACGCUCUGCUGCCCGCCGUCAGAGAAAAGGUGAGCCCA